rnacentral:rRNA from 1 species
CUAAGAAUAUUCCGCAAUGGGCUAACGCCUGACGGAGCAAUUUCGCAUGGAUGAUGAAGGUUCUCGGAUUGUAAAAUCCUUUCGGUAGUCAAGAAUAAGUCGGUAGGGAAAUAUGCCGACGAUGACGCUAGCUACAGAAGAAGCCCCGGCUAACUACGUGCCAGCAGCCGCGGUAAUACGUAGGGGGUGAACGAUGUUCGAAAUCACUGGGCGUAAAGGGUGUGUAGGCUGCCUGAAAAGUUGAAUGUGAAAUCUUAAGGCUCAACCUUAAGGCUGUGUUCAAAACUUUCAGGCUAGAGUUGUUGAUAGAGGUAGCGGGAAUUCCUGGUGUAGGAGUGAAAUCUGUAGAUAUCAGGAGGAACACCAAAGGCGAAGGCAAGCUACUGGGUAACGACUAACGCUGAGACACGAAAGCUAGGGUAGCG